CAUGAAGCCAGAGUCCAGAGAAACUGAGAUGGAAUAAUAAUAAUAAUGUUACUUUUGCCAAUUGGGUUCAAUCUUUGGACAUGUCCUAAGUAGAAUGAAGGCACCAUUUUAGCAUAAUGAAAUAACCUCACUUACCCUCUCAUUCCUACAAGAUUAAGAUCGUCAGUGAACUGCCUUAUACAGAUGAAGCUAUAUAUCUUCCAUUUAUCUGGGCUGAAAGUGUCCAAUUUAGAGAUGUGACUUUGAAAGACAUGACUGAAUGCUUAAAAACCUCUGUAAAAUAUGACCAGUUUCCCAUGCUCAAUACAUAAAACAAGAGAACAAAGACCAUAUUUGGGCUUCGUAAAGUGCUCUGGGCACAGUGAGUCCUUAAAUUAUUACUAGUACUGGGAUAGAUCUGUCAGCCCAGCAGGGGUGAGAUUUCAUCUGACCUCCAGGAUGAGCACUUGAACUGCUCUCAGGCACCAAGUCUCACUGGUCAAUUUGCAGAGCUUUCUAACAUUCCGUGACUGAAGAGUUUUCCCAGGAAUAUAGUCAGCCUGGGUAGUUUCUUUUUCCAACUUUUCACACAACUGAUUGGUCGGCGAAGACUUGAAGCAAAUGUUAGAGAACAAUACUGUGGACCAUAAGUGCAGGUGGUGCUUAAACCAUCCAGUGCUUUGUAACUGCAAGAAAUUCUCCAAGCGUACUUGGAAACAUCAAUGGCUUGGUACUGUGCCUCAAACAAACAGUAUUCCACAGACUCAAAUUCCCUAUGAAUUUCCAUUUUCACUCAGGGGAAAGCGGAAAAGGGAGCCUCCAAGGUUUAUAGACCAGAUGAUGAUGAUGAUGCUUAAAGCAUCCAAGCCAUCAUCUUAAAUUGAAACAAGAAGUCUGUUUGCAUGUCACAACCUAAAUCCUGCUCCUAAUUAUGUUCAGAUUGGAGAGAGUCCACAUUUUGUCACCAAAGUCCCGAGAUUUUUGCUUAGAUCAAGAAUAGAUUCUGAUUUUCUACAGUGUCUCUGGCAGAACCUAAGUCCCUCAGCCAGCUGCUGAGAAGGAAAUUCUGACUUUUAGAUUAAUUGCUACCAGACUAAACCCUGAUUCUGGUGACCAACUCAUACUUGGGAAAACCAGACAAUUGAACUUGUCAUCCCUUUUGUGGAUAUUCAUAAGUAAGAGGGUUAAAUAUGGGCAGGCUAUUAUAAACACAUUAUCUUUUCCCCAUUACUAUGUUUAAUGGACUUUGAUAAACAUUUGAGAAGCAA